AAAAUCCUGCGUUUUGCAUUAUUGUGCUGCAUGCAUGGCUGUUUUUUUACUGUUCAUUAAUGUUGUCACACUUAAUCCAACCGGAAUGGGCCUAGCGCUGUACAACGCUGCUACCUGCACCCCCAUUCAGGCCCAUUUCCAAUUCACUUUGUAUUUUCAUAUUUCAUUUUUAUUCUUUAUUCUUAUUUUUAUUCUGUUUUGUUUUAAUUAUUAAAAAUAUUUUAUUUGUUCACAAAAAUACCAAAAAAUAUUUUUUACUUUCCUUAAUGUUUUAUUUAAUUUAUU
rnacentral:lncRNA from 1 species